rnacentral:rRNA from 1 species
UACGGGGGGGAGCAAGCGUUGUUCGGAUUUACUGGGCGUAAAGGGCGCGUAGGCGGUCGUGACAAGUCACUUGUGAAAUCUCCGGGCUUAACUCGGAACGGUCAAGUGAUACUGUCGGACUAGAGUACAGAAGGGGCAACUGGAAUUCUCGGUGUAGCGGUGAAAUGCGUAGAUAUCGAGAGGAACACCUGCGGCGAAGGCGGGUUGCUGGGCUGAUACUGACGCUGAGGCGCGAAAGCUAGGGGGAGCGAACGGG